rnacentral:rRNA from 1 species
CGUCCAGACUCCUACGGGAGGCAGCAGUGGGGAAUAUUGGGCAAUGGGCGCAAGCCUGACCCAGCAACGCCGCGUGAAGGAAGAAGGCUUUCGGGUUGUAAACUUCUUUUGUCAGGGACGAAGCAAGUGACGGUACCUGACGAAUAAGCCACGGCUAACUACGUGCCAGCAGCCGCGGUAAUACGUAGGUGGCGAGCGUUAUCCGGAAUGAUUGGGCGUAAAGGGUGCGUAGGCGGCCUGCUAAGUCUGGAGUGAAAGGUACCGGCUCAACCGGUAUAGGCUCUGGAAACUGGCGGGCUAGAGAGCAGGAGAGGGCGGUGGAACUCCAUGUGUAGCGGUAAAAUGCGUAGAUAUAUGGAAGAACACCAGUGGCGAAGGCGGCCGCCUGGCCUGUUACUGACGCUGAGGCACGAAAGCGUGGGGAGCAAACAGGAUUAGAUACCCUUGUA